CUCGUCAGAAACAGCCUUAAUCUUGUUGACUGCCACGGCAAGCUAAGAGCUUGGUUAGAGCAGCAUUCCCCCUGGGGAUCCAGGACUGUGAUAAAAGCUGUAACGGGGUGGGGGGACUCGAUCCCAGCGAAAAAUUGUCCUUCUGACCCCAAGAGGACUGACAAAUGGAGAUGGAGAGUCUCCUUCUGUCUUUGAGGUCAGCACUUCUGAUCUAGCCGUAAUUCAGUAAUUACUCAGUUCGUGUGGCUCUCCAGAAGCAUACAUUAGCAGCUUGGAGGGGGAACAGAAGGAUGGCACCAUUCCUGACCUCAACCACCUCUCAUCUUCACACACUCCCUGAGCUCCCUCUGCCUGGAAGGGUGGAGGACAGUAAGUGAUGCAGGAUGGGGAAUCAAGAACAAAUUUGCAGGUAACAUAUGCUGGAAAGGCUCUGAGCACCCCAGUGUUUGUUAGAGGAAACAUGAUUUCUGCAUGCAGCUGGUGGGGUCCUCUGAGAGAUUUCUUCUUUACAAAAUAAAAGGUUUUGCUGCUGAUGCAGCACUAGGAAGGUGAAGCCUCCGCAGACUCGGGCACAUAGGUUUCUCACAGACAUGGCACCCGUCCCCUCUAAGUAUUACUUUUAUCGUAAUCUUUUCCCCUGUUACACAAUUUCGUGUCAUGCACAGGCUCACCACUGCACUUUUACAGCUUUCAUCUAGAGGCUCUUAGAUGCUAUGGGAAUGGGCAUUAGUGACUACCUUGAAGACAGAUAAUACAAAACAUGACAGCAAGAUUGGGCACCUACAGGUCACGCAACUGGGGACUGAAACUUAUACUCACGGUGGGACAGCUACAUCUUUAAGUGACUGUAAAGCAAGGGCAGCUCACCUGUUUCUCUUUCUCCAAGAAAGACAUCAGCAUGGCUACAUUCAUUAACAUUUCCUACCUCUCUUCCUAUCUAUCCCUAGGAUUUCCCAUACCUUCCUCCUAUUUCUUUUACACUUCAGAUAAAAAGUGUUACAUCUGACCCUACACAAGGGAGAAGCGGUAUCAGACGUCUCCCAAGGAACUGCAACAAAGAUAGAGAGGGCUCUCCUCUCAUUAAUUCACUGAUAUUUAACUUUUCCCCUUAAGACUACCAAAGGAUUUGUGCUUGCAGGAAAAUAUUUUGGACAGGCACAAGUUUUCAGCACACUGAUGGUCACGUCUUGGGUGCAUCACUUGGAAGCUGCUCUCCUCCAGGCACUGGGAAGAUCUCCAUAAACCAUAGCAUUAAGUCCUACAGCCCUUUCCUGCAACCGAACAACUGGUUUGAAAGACUUUGGAGCAUCUCAAAGGAAGGAAAAAGGAAAGAAAAUGAUAAAGCAGCUGAAGCUGCUUCUGGCAGAAUAGAAUUAGUUGCUGUGAAAGUGAUUGUGAUGCUGCAGACAAAAGAAUCUGAGUCCAGCAGAAAAAGCAAGAAACAACAGAAGCUGAACUUUUGAGGAAAAGCCAAUCACAUUUCCAUGCAGAUGCCCAGAGUCAUAAAGGUGGAAAUUAAAACAGAAAGCCAUACAAAUAGGAUUCUCCAGCAAGACAGUCUCCAACAAGGCAGAAAAGACCAUCAAUAAAUCUUCAUUAUCUGAAUUGCUAAGCAUAUCUAAAUAAAAGUAGAAAUUCAAAUAUUAGAACUUGUCUUUUUAAAUCAUCUUACAUAAAACCAACUCUGCCUUGCUUGAACAUGUUUUACAGAAAGGGAUUUUUUUCUCUCUCUUACUUCUGCUAGCCCUUUACAGAGGUUUCAUUUGCUGGGGUGGCUUUUUCUGCCUACGGGGAAGUGGGAAUUUCUGGGCUUAACAAGCUCAAAUCCCCAUGACAUAUAGUUCCAAAUUUUAGAGGCAACUAAGAUUUUGAUUCUUACUUU